UACGUAGGGGGCAAGCGUUGUCCGGAAUCAUUGGGCGUAAAGAGCGUGUAGGCGGUCCGAUAAGUCGGUUGUGAAAGUCCAGGGCUCAACCCUGGGAUGCCGACCGAUACUGUCGGACUAGAGUUCGGAAGAGGCGAGUGGAAUUCCCGGUGUAGCGGUGAAAUGCGCAGAUAUCGGGAGGAACACCUAUGGCGAAGGCAGCUCGCUGGGACGUGACUGACGCUGAGACGCGAAAGCGUGGGGAGCGAACAGG
rnacentral:rRNA from 1 species